UACGGAGGGUGCAAGCGUUGUCCGGAAUCACUGGGCGUAAAGGGCGCGCAGGCGGCAGAUCAAGUCAGACGUGAAAGCCCCGGGCUUAACCUGGGAACUGCGUUUGGGACUGGUUUGCUAGAGAUCGGGAGAGGAGAGUGGAAUUCCCAGUGUAGAGGUGAAAUUCGUAGAUAUUGGGAAGAACACCGGUGGCGAAGGCGGCUCUCUGGACCGAUACUGACGCUGAGGCGCGAAAGCGUGGGGAGCAAACAGG
rnacentral:rRNA from 1 species